GAUGAACGCUAGCUACAGGCUUAACACAUGCAAGUCGAGGGGCAUCAGUUUGGUUUGCUUGCAAACCAAAGCUGGCGACCGGCGCACGGGUGAGUAACACGUAUCCAACCUGCCGAUAACUCGGGGAUAGCCUUUCGAAAGAAAGAUUAAUACCCGAUGGUAUAAUCAGACCGCAUGGUCUUGUUAUUAAAGAAUUUCGGUUAUCGAUGGGGAUGCGUUCCAUUAGGCAGUUGGUGAGGUAACGGCUCACCAAACCUUCGAUGGAUAGGGGUUCUGAGAGGAAGGUCCCCCACAUUGGAACUGAGACACGGUCCAAACUCCUACGGGAGGCAGCAGUGAGGAAUAUUGGUCAAUGGGCGCAGGCCUGAACCAGCCAAGUAGCGUGAAGGAUGACUGCCCUAUGGGUUGUAAACUUCUUUUAUAUGGGAAUAAAGUUUUCCACGUGUGGAAUUUUGUAUGUACCAUAUGAAUAAGGAUCGGCUAACUCCGUGCCAGCAGCCGCGGUAAUACGGAGGAUCCGAGCGUUAUCCGGAUUUAUUGGGUUUAAAGGGAGCGUAGGUGGACAGUUAAGUCAGUUGUGAAAGUUUGCGGCUCAACCGUAAAAUUGCAGUUGAUACUGGCUGUCUUGAGUACAGUAGAGGUGGGCGGAAUUCGUGGUGUAGCGGUGAAAUGCUUAGAUAUCACGAAGAACUCCGAUUGCGAAGGCAGCUCACUGGACUGCAACUGACACUGAUGCUCGAAAGUGUGGGUAUCAAACAGGAUUAGAUAUCCUGGUAGUCCACACAGUAAACGAUGAAUACUCGCUGUUUGCGAUAUACAGUAAGCGGCCAAGCGAAAGCAUUAAGUAUUCCACCUGGGGAGUACGCCGGCAACGGUGAAACUCAAAGGAAUUGACGGGGGCCCGCACAAGCGGAGGAACAUGUGGUUUAAUUCGAUGAUACGCGAGGAACCUUACCCGGGCUUAAAUUGCAUUUGAAUAUAUUGGAAACAGUAUAGCCGUAAGGCAAAUGUGAAGGUGCUGCAUGGUUGUCGUCAGCUCGUGCCGUGAGGUGUCGGCUUAAGUGCCAUAACGAGCGCAACCCUUAUCUUUAGUUACUAACAGGUCAUGCUGAGGACUCCAGAGAGACUGCCGUCGUAAGAUGUGAGGAAGGUGGGGAUGACGUCAAAUCAGCACGGCCCUUACGUCCGGGGCUACACACGUGUUACAAUGGGGGGUACAGAAGGCAGCUACCUGGUGACAGGAUGCUAAUCCCAAAAGCCUCUCUCAGUUCGGAUCGAAGUCUGCAACCCGACUUCGUGAAGCUGGAUUCGCUAGUAAUCGCGCAUCAGCCAUGGCGCGGUGAAUACGUUCCCGGGCCU
rnacentral:rRNA from 1 species